UACGUAGGGUGCGAGCGUUAAUCGGAAUUACUGGGCGUAAAGCGUGCGCAGGCGGUUUUGCAAGCCGGAUGUGAAAUCCCCGGGCUCAACCUGGGAAUGGCAUUCGGGACUGCAAGGCUGGAGUGCGGAAGAGGAGACUGGAAUUCCUGGUGUAGCAGUGAAAUGCGUAGAUAUCAGGAGGAAUACCGAUGGCGAAGGCAGGUCUCUGGGCUGACACUGACGCUCAUGCACGAAAGCGUGGGGAGCAAACAGG
rnacentral:rRNA from 1 species